ACAGCGAAGGCAUAAGUCCUGGUCAGAGAAAGUGAUAAAGAGUGACGCAUUCGCAAAGUUCCGGAGUAAGGAAAUGGGUGAUAUUCCGGAAAAGGACUGCACUCCAAUGGAAGAAUUUAAAAAUGAAAUUGAUCUACAGGAAGAUGAGCUUCCUUCAGCCAUUCAACAAAAGCGGGAAAUCGAAACAAUUGAUAAUGAAAGCACUUGUUCAUAUGCGGGUAAACAAUCUUAAUAUCCUUCUGUUUAAGAUUAACUAAAAAUGUAUUAAACAAUUAAUGAAGUCAUCUAAGAGAAGUGAAAGAUUAAAAUCAAAAUAUCUUCUUAUAUAAAAUCGUUAGAAUCAAAACAACGUCUAAUGAUAUAAUAUCUAUUUUUUCGUUAAUUAUUCAUAAUUAUUUUAACUAUUAGAGAACAUGUUUUGAUUUAUAAAGUAAAAUUUCUUAUGUGGCAAACACUGUAAAGGAAUUUUGUUUGUUCACCUUACCGCUACUUGAAGAAAAUAUUUUAAACAUGUUUGAUAUGCUGUAUACAGACAGUAUUUCUUUAUAGAGAUAUUGUCUUGAAAUAGAUCAUUACGUGCCUAUAUUUAUCUAUAGUAAUCUCUUUUCAAGUUUAAUUUUUUUCUUUUCUUCUCUUCAGUUACUUUUUGACUAAAGUUAGGAGGAUGAAAAGGAGGUCAAUAACUGUUAUCGUCUUAUUAAAUGAUUUGCUAUAUACUCCUUUUCUUAUCUUAAAUAAAUGUAUUUGAUUUACUUGAUUCAUUUUUCUAACUAUGUAAAUAAUCUUGAUAACAAAGUUAAAUAGACUUUAUCCUCUUUUCUAGUUUCUCGGUCUUGGUAUAAGAAAUGGGAAGAUUAUGUUGGAAUAUCGUCAAAUUACGAUCCUUCAAUUCAAUAUCCGAUUCCUGGACCAAUUUGCAUGGAUAUUCAUAACGAAAGUAAUAAUGAGUUUAUUAGCGAGGAGGCGUGGAAAAUGUUUGUUAAAUGGUACGGCGUAAACAAAUUACAUCAUUUGGACAGGAAACAUUUAUAUUUCAAGGAUGAGAAGGUGUUUGAUGUUUGUAUUCUAACACCUUUCUCUGGAAUUACUGAACACAGAGUAAAGAAGUUUAAUAGAUUCGAAGAGAUUGGCUGGGUAGAACUUCAAAUGAGACAGAUGUUUCAAGUUCUUGAAACUAAGGAGACCCGAUUAUGGAUAAGUGAAAAAGGGCAAAUGCCCAAAUUCAGGCAAUUAUUGACAAGAUCCAGAAUGUUGAAUGAUUGCAUUGUUAGAGAUAAAACGUACAUAUUGGCAAUUGAAGAAUUGAAUGAAAAUCGUUGGACAACAGGAGAACCGGGAGCCCCUAAGGGCUCUCUAGAGAAAUAUUCGGAUCUUGUGCAAUUUAAAUUUCCUAGUACUAAUGCGUUUGAAAGUGAAAUUAAUAAACUUUUAAAGAAUCUUUCUGCUGAAAUGGCGGAAUCUAUUAGAAAGAGUACGGAACAGGUUGUUAAAAACUCUCAACAACUUAUGGAAAGGAAAGAAGUUAACUUGGAUGAAAAACUGAAGAAAGUUCUUAACAAAAUGGAAGAAUACGAACAGAAAUUAUCUGAAAUUAAGAAACAAAAAGUCGAUAUAGACGAAAGGGAACAGAAGUUAAGUAAAAAAUUAAAAGAAUUGGAACAAAGGGAAAGUACAAUCGAUUUUAGAGAAAAUAAAUUUGAAAAGGAGAAAGAAGAGAUUAUAAAUUUAAAUAAAAUUCUUGAAUCAAAGGUAAAGUUAGAAGUAGGAGGACAAUCUUUUUCAACUUCCCUUAAUACUCUAACAAAAGAAGAGGAUUCACUAUUAGCAACGAUGUUUAGUGGAUGUCAUAAAUUGCAACCGGAUCAAGAUGGAGUCUACUUCAUAGAUAGGGACGGAGUUCAUUUCCGUUAUAUCCUAAAUUACUUAAGAGAUUCAACAAUAGAUCUUGGAACAUUACCACAAGAUAUUUCUGUAUUAAGACAAAUAUUAAGUGAAGUGAAAUACUACAAGUUAUCAAACUUUGCGGAUAGGUUGGAAAAGUUUAUCAAUUCAUUCCCACAUUCAGCAAAAUCUUGAAUCACUUUUCUUUUUUUCCCUUUGAUCACCAAAAACUCAUUAACUGGUGUUAAUUACUAUUUUCCCCCCUUUUUUUGGGAUUUUAUUGUCUAGUGAUCGUAUUCUGCAGGUUAUUGGUUUUUUUUCUAUAUAUAUAUAUACUGUAUAUUCCUUAUUUGGCAAUAGCUAUUCAUAAUUAUACAGUUUUUAUCAAAUUAAGUUUAUAUUUGUCCAAAAUAAACGACUG
rnacentral:misc_RNA from 1 species